rnacentral:misc_RNA from 1 species
CCGAAAUAAGAAGGAAAAUAAGAAUCAUAACUUUUUUGGUCUUUGUCUGAGAGGUUUUACUACUUUUGAUAGACGUACAAGCCUUUAGACUGCUGGCAUUACCACAUAAGCCUUUAUUAUUUCUAUAUGCCUCAAAUGGAGCCUCGCAGAAGGCUUUAACAUUGGGAAUAGGACCUUCUAAUUCAUUGUAGGAGAUAUCCACAGCAGUCAAGCUCC